GAUGAACGCUGGCGGCGUGCCUAAUACAUGCAAGUCGAGCGAACAGACGAGGAACUUGCUCCUCUGACGUUAGCGGCGGACGGGUGAGUAACACGUGGAUAACCUACCUAUAAGACUGGGAUAACUUCGGGAAACCGGAGCUAAUACCGGAUAAUAUAUUGAACCGCAUGGUUCAAUAGUGAAAGACGGUUUUGCUUUCACUUCUAGAUGGAUCCUCGCCGCAUUAGCUAGUUGGUAUGGUAACGGCUUACCAAGGCGACGAUGGGUAGCCGACCUCAGAGGGUGAUCGGCCACACUGGAACGGAGACACGGUCCAGACUCCUACGGGAGGCAGCAGUAGGGAAUAUUCCGCAAUGGGCGAAAGCCUGACGGAGCAACGGCGAGUGAGUGAUGAAGGUCUUCGGAUCGUAAAACUCUGUUAUUAGGGAAGAACAAAUGUGUAAGUAACUAUGCACGUCUUGAAGGUACCUAAUCAGAAAGCCACGGCUAACUACGUG
rnacentral:rRNA from 1 species